CCACCAUGACGCAAAGUCCAGUAAUAACAGCGACGUCUAUCAAAGUAAUAGUCAUCUCUCCGUAUCGCAAAUGGAAACUCUGCGUUUCCCUACCUAUUCGCAUUGGUCCAAUUUUUAUGUAGCUAAAUCAUACAAUUAUCUACCGCUCAUUUUGACCAACCAACGGAGACGGAUCCAUCAUAGUAGCUGGCAAUUAUGCGCUAAUUGGCACACAUGGGACUCCAAACUCUCUGUAACACUUACAAGACAAAGUUAUUAAUUUCACACAUCUAAACUAAUUGAGGAAUUACGAAAAACAAUUAUAAAGAUUAUUACUUUAUACCUUGAUGUAUGACCUCAUUCGCGAUUGAUGUAAUUCCUUUGAUAAUCGCUACUACGCAUUUCCGUAUAAUUAACGGUACUUAGACGAUCUUGUGUUGUCGAUACAUGUUUCUCCACGAAUAAUUUUAGAUAUCCAUGGAACGAAAAAAAACUCAACAUGCCAAUUAGUUCAUUGUCACCUGAUAUGUCAACCAAUUCCCAUUCAUUAGCUCCCAUUGGACAUCAAACCGUUAUGCGGAGACGGUCUUCCACUCGGUCAUAGUUAGUAACAUUAUAUAUUUCCAUCUCAAAUUCCCGAAAUGAGAUAUCAUGUCGAAAAGCAACCAAUCGUUUACGGCCA
rnacentral:lncRNA from 1 species